AGCAGAAAUAAAAGAAGGCUUGCAGCUACCAGAAAGUCAUUAAGGCAUUAGUUUCUCUGAGAAGACAGAUCUGAAGAAAAUUCAAGAAAAUGAGAAAAUAGAUAUAAAUAAGGUGGAGUUGAAUACAAUGCCCACAUUUGUGGUUAGCUACAAGCAAUAUGUUAUGAAGAUGGUGGUAUUCAGACACGUACCCAACCAAUUUAAUUCAGAUAAAUUGGAUACAAGGCUUUGACCAGCAUGAGAAGAGCAGUGAGCAAGUUGCAUUUUAAAUCUCAUGUGAAAGCAGACAUCACUACAGAUGCAGAGCAGAGAUGUCAGUGAGAACUACCAACACGACUGGAUUGGCAGCAUCACAGGCUGCUGGAGGAGCUCAGCAGGAGAAGAGCCAGCACUGCACCAACAAUGUGGUUUGAGCAGAGGUUGGUGGUGGUCCAGCUCAUUGGAACUUUUGUGCUCGAACCAGGGGGAUGCUAUAGAUGGAGCUAAUCUGGUUCUUCAAUCCCACCGAAGAGCACAGAGCUGAUCUCUAAGUCUGCUAUCUGCUCCUGCUAUGUCCUGAUGAAUGUUUGGUCCAGUACCAGACAGGAUGCAAAGCUGAACACCCAUAGCCAUCACUCUCCUGCUCUUCACAGUAGAUGUUGCUACCCUACAAUUAUCAAGAUUAAUAUGGUGUUGGAGAAUAUGACUGGAUUCUGCCCACACCACCAUGGCAUGCUGAUAAAGCAAUGAUAGCCUACAAAAGGAAAUAAUUCUCCACCUUUUUUUUUUUUGAUCAAGUGCCAUGGGAAUAGGACCUACCCAGUGGAGAUUUCAGUGUGGCAGAAGGAUGGGAAGCAUGGAGAUUUCUGAGAUGGUUUGGAUGCUGCUUCUACCAAGUAGAAGUGAUGUUAAACUGAAAUUGUUCAUCAAACUGUCACCUCAUACGGAUUAUUCUAUUGGAAAGUCAAGAAAACCACCACUGAUUUUAUUUUUUUUCCCCAAAAAUAUAAAACAGAUAUCUUGUGUAAGAGGAGACAAUGUUCAAACACCCAAGCUCAAGAAGGGGCUAAAAGGAAAAGCCUGAGGUUAGAGCAGAGAGAAACUGUCAAAAGUUUUAAAAGAAAUUUUAUGAAGCCAUAUUUGUAUGCAAAAUCUAUGAUCACUUUGAAAUCAAAAAAGCUACUGUUAGGUUAUUUGCACAAAGUAGCUUUAUAGUCAGAAAACCCCUCAUCACUUCUAUCCCACUUUAAAAAAUACAUUCUAUACCAUUCUGAAAUCCCAAAAGACAAUAAAAAUCACUUGGAUUUAUGAUGCUUGGGUGUAAAGGAAUUAGAUGCAAGUAGCUGGGUUUUCACAGAAAUAUUAUUCUGGAACAUUUGAAUAACACAACUUUUGGACCAGGUGCUUGGGUUGUGUGUGUGAUGUGAGCACGUGAGCACUAUGAGGUGGACUUGUGAUGUCACUGCAUUUCCUGUUCAUCACUUAGCACAGCUGAACAUCAUGGCCCCUGUAAAGCCAAACAAGAGGUUGUCAGUGACUUCAGUGGAGCCAGAAUUUCAUCCCAGGCCAGGAGCUACUGAUGGAGAGUUCCACCGGCUGGUGACUUGGAGCAACUUCAAGUCAGUGAAGCUGAAGGGAAAAAAUUCCUUGUCACAUAACUGAUCUCUUUGGCAACCCAGGGUACCCAAAUUUCACUGGAUUUUCUACCAAGUUUCCAUUCAUGUUGCAACUAUGUAGAUAAUAUGUUAAGGCAUCAUUCUUAAAAAAGUAAGGAAUUAAUUUCUCUAAGAGAUGGGUGAUUUGUAGAAGACAUUUGUGUAUUUUUGCAUGCUAAAUGUGCUUUAUAUUUACAAAUAAAUUUGCAUAAAAUCUC